rnacentral:lncRNA from 1 species
GGGUAUUUAACUAAUUUUCCGGCUCUGAAUUACAGCCACCUGCACUGACCGCAAAAGACCUGAACUGCGAUUCCGAGAAUGGCAUUUAAAACAGGCAUUUUUAGAUUGUCCACUAGUUGAUUUAUAUGCGGGGAGGUUCGAAAUGUCUACGUCAAUUUAUAACGCUGGAUUAGAACUCCAAUAACAUCAUAUUCGUUCCGCGAUAUGUGAAUGUAUCCAAGUAGAGCCAUAAAGGGUCGUUGAGUUCUCAAUGCAGACAGCCCGGGGGUCAUAAGUCCCCAGAAUGUCCAAGUGGUACAGGGACCUUUUUUUUCACAUGAAGGGAGAAGAGGGGGGCGGGGGUGGCAGUUUAAACUACAAAAGCGCUGUAGUCUACAAAAGUGAAAGUAAUGUCAAAAGGCACGCCUGCACAACGUCCAGAGCAGACACUAAAAGGGGGAAUCCUAAUGGUUACCAAGGCAACAUGACAAGUGACUUGGCAUGGAUCAUCAGAGCUUGUCUCUUUGUGUGCCUGUGGAGAGCCUGUCUGUGUAAGGCGAAUGACUGCAUGCAUAACGAACUUCUAACAGAAAUGGUAGAACGUCUGCCAAAGGGCUAUUUGUUCAGAGUGAACAAAAGUGAGGAAACAUUUGUUGCAAAAGCCCUUAGCAGGUUCUAUGGGGAGAACUGUAAGAAGGACUUUGAAUGCAAAGAUUACACUGAAGACAAAACAAAUUCUACUGUAUGUUACUUACUGACCUGUCUGCAUGGGAAGGAACCAGAGUGUGUCUCCAAUGUCACAUACAGUCUAGCUGACGUGGAGUUGGUCAGUUUGAAAGGCUUCAAGUGUCUGGUUGAAGAUGCAUUCAAUCAGAAAUAUAAUUUGUCACAAGAACAAGAGGACGGUAUGUUUAAAAUACCUUUGGUUCCAUGA